UCCCUGGUAGCUCAGACGGUAAAGCGUCUGCCUACAAUGCAGGAGACCCAGGUUCGAUCCCUGGGUUGGGAA
rnacentral:tRNA from 1 species